CCUGUGCGCUCGCUCGCUUUCUUUUUUCCCAGCCCCAUCACUUAUUCAUGGAACAGGUUCAACUCCCAGCACUGAUGUCUGGAAACGACUCGUGGACACAGAAGUGACAGUGGGUGGUUUCGAGAGUGGCCAGCGUGGAUAAUAGCAGCCGGGCAAUGGAGCAGCAUAACAAAAAGGAGAGCCAGAACAAAGCCCGACAAUUACAGUAAGAAAGAAUUCAUCGCUGUGGGGCAAGGUGGACAGCACAGAGCCACGCUCAUCUUACACGGCUCUCACACAGACUGGCAAAAGGCAUCCAGCCCAUCAGGAGCCUCUGAGAGGAAACAGGAUGGGGAAUUCCAAACAAAGAGACAGGCAAACAACGAGUUGCUGGCCGCUCCAUUAUGGCCUUGUUUGCUCCUUGUAUGCAGGAUCAUCCAUACAAUAAAAGCGAAAUUAAAAGUUCUCAGAUGUGCGGCACUGUUGGCACAUGCUGCUAGCGUACGCAUAUUCUCUCCGCCCCCGGAUGGAUUGAAGAUACCACCUUCACUUGGGAGUGAAGGCCAGAGAGGAGAAAACGUGAGGGGAUGCCUUCUGCCUAUCGGGACCGUGCGCUCAGUUUGCCAGCUGCUGUGCUGGGAGAACAGAAUGUAGGCCAGAGGAAGAAGAAAGGUGCUCCGGACACAGCCUGACCCGGUGGGAGAGAAGAAAUGAUAGAGGACAUACCACAUCAAGCCCCAGGCCAUGACGUGUAUGACGUUAGUAAGAGUUUCUUUCAAAUGCAUCACUAGCAUCGUUUGCAUUAGCUGAUGCAGGACAGUCGCAUAACACCCUCGUUAAAUAAGCUAGUGACAACCAAAGAUAUGAAAAAAGUUUGAAUUCAGCCUUGUGUUAUAUGUUAAAGGGACAGUUCAUCUAAAUUAAAAUUCUGUCUUCAUUUACGCACCCUUACGUCAUCAACGUGACUGACUUUCUUUUUCUGUGGAACACAAUAUAUAUAUAUAUACACAUACAGUAUAUUAUACACAAUACACA
ensembl:lncRNA